UAGCUCAGUUGGUAAAGAAUCUGCCUAUAAUGCAGGAGACCCAGGUUCAAAUCCUGG
rnacentral:tRNA from 1 species